UUUCCGUAGGUGAACCUGCGGAAGGAUCAUUAUUGAAAUCAAUUCUGAUAAGUUGCUGCUGGCUCUCUAGGGAGCAUGUGCACACUUGUCAUCUUUGUAUCUUCACCUGUGCACCUUUUGUAGACUCUUGUCUAUGUUGCUUCAUUUGCCCCAAUGUAUGUUAAUAGAAUGUUUGUCCCUAUAAAAUAUAUACAACUUUCAGCAACGGAUCUCUUGGCUCUC
rnacentral:misc_RNA from 1 species